UUAAAUGGACAACAGCCGACAAGCAAGCGGGUUUUGAAUUCGCACAUAGUACUUCGGCAAUUUUACAAUAGAAUAAGAGUUGAUGAUGAGGACAAUUUACCUGGCCACCGAAAAUGAAACUCCCAAUUGUAAUUUGACGACAUAGGAUCACUGGUGUCCCAUUUCAAUAAUUUGCCUUUCGAUAAACGUCAAUUAAAAUUUUUUUUAUUAUGCUACA
rnacentral:lncRNA from 1 species